AGCAGCCGCGGUAAUUCCAGCUCCAAUAGCGUAUAUUAAAGUUGUUGCAGUUAAAAAGCUCGUAGUUGAAUUUCGGGAUCAAGGAAUCGGUCAUGCCUCGGUAUGUACUGGUUUUAUUGGUUCUCGCCUUCUAAAGAACCAUGAUGUCAUUCAUUUGAUGUUAUGGGGAAUUAGGACUGUUACCUUGAAAAAAUUAGAGUGUUUAAAGCAGGCUUACGCUUGAAUACAUUAGCAUGGAAUAAUGAAAUAGGACAUCAGAUUCUAUUUUGUUGGUUUCUAGGAUCGAUGUAAUGAUUAAUAGGGAUAGUUGGGGGGCAUUAGUAUUCAAUUGUCAGAGGUGAAAUUCUUGGAUUUAUUGAAGACUAACUACUGCGAAAGCAUUUGCCAAGGAUGUUUUCAUUAAUCAAGAACGAAAGUUAGGGGAUCGAAGACGAUCAGAUACCGUCGUAGUCUUAACCAUAAACUAUGCCGACUAGGGAUCGGAUGAUGUUUAUUUUUUAGUGACUCAUUCGGCACCUUA
rnacentral:misc_RNA from 1 species